rnacentral:rRNA from 1 species
CAAUAGCGUAUAUUAAAGUUGUUGCGGUUAAAAGCUCGUAGUUGGAUUUCUGCCGAGGACGACCGGUCCGCCCUCUGGGUGAGUAUCUGGCUCGGCCUGGGCAUCUUCUUGGAGAACGUAACUGCACUUGACUGUGUGGUGCGGUAUCCAGGACUUUUACUUUGAGGAAAUUAGAGUGUUUCAAGCAGGCACACGCCUUGAAUACAUUAGCAUGGAAUAAUAAUAUAGGACCUCGGUUCUAUUUUGUUGGUUUCUAGUACUGAAGUAAUGAUUGAUAGGGAUAGUUGGGGGUGCUAGUAUUGACCGGCCAGAGGUGAAAUUCUUGGAUUUCCGAAAGACGAACUACC